ensembl:lncRNA
GGAGGAGGUGAUGAGGAGGACAGAGUCUGAUGGGAAUGAAUGAGAAGCAGGAGGUGAAAAAGGAGAAACAGGUUCAUGUACCUUCAGUGUGAAGCUCCGCUGCUUCUCCUGCAGCAACUUCCUGCUUCUUCUCCUCCACAUCUUCCAGUCCAGAGUCAUGAUGAUCAGGUUCAUCCACCGUCGGAGAGGAGACGCAAGGAGGUGAUGUAGACUCCUCAGGGAGAGGAGGAGGAACACUGGACUCCUCAGAAACAGUGUGAUGAAGACUGGACUCCUCGGAGUGUUCUAGGUGUGUGUCUGUUGUGUUAUUUCCAGAUAAAGGGUCCUCAGCGUGUUUGUGUUUUGUGUUAUUUUCAGUAAAACAGUCUUUUUCUAUAUGUGCUUGUCUUUCUCCUCUUUCUCCUCCUCCUCUCUCUUCUUCCAUCACCUCCUCUUUUCUCUCCAGACUCUGCUGCAUGAUUAGAACCUGAACCUCCUCUUCUAGCUCCACCUGCUCGGCACCUUCAUCCUCUGACUCCUCCUCUUCAUCCUGGCUCCUCCUACACUGCUCCUCCUCCUGCACCUCCUCUUCUCCUUCUGACUCUACAACUUCAUUCUUUCCUUCUGUCUCCUCCUGCUCUCUCUGUUCUGUUCUGGUUUCAGGUUCUGGGUUCUGGUUCUGGCCUGGUUCUGUACCUGCUAUAGGUUCCUGCUGACAGGAAACUGGUCUGAGGACAACUGCUCCACAGAAGUCCUGGUCCUGGUCCUGGUCCUGGUCCUGCUCUGAGAGCCUGGAGUCCACCUCCACACCGGGCUGACAGAAGUGUGUGGUUCCACUGGUGUGUGUCAUAGCAGCAGAGUGUGCAUUUGUGGUGUGAGGUGUAUGUGUUGUUGUUCCAGGUGUGUGUGUUUCAGAUGUGUGUGCAGGUGUGUGUGUCCCAGGUGUUUGUGUUGUUGUAGUGUGUGUAGGUGUGUGUGUUGUUGUUCCAGGUGUGUGUGUUGUUG